UACGUAGGGUGCGAGCGUUACUCGGAAUUACUGGGCGUAAAGCGUGCGCAGGCGGUUAUGUAAGACAGGGGUGAAAUCCCCGGGCUUAACCUGGGAACUGCAUUUGUGACUGCAUAGCUAGAGUACGGUAGAGGGGGAUGGAAUUCCGCGUGUAGCAGUGAAAUGCGUAGAUAUGCGGAGGAACACCGAUGGCGAAGGCAAUCCCCUGGACCUGUACUGACGCUCAUGCACGAAAGCGUGGGGAGCAAACAGG
rnacentral:rRNA from 1 species